rnacentral:lncRNA from 1 species
UAAAUGACAAACACUGAUAAUAACAAGAGUCAAUCCUAAUAACAGUUGUGCGCUUUUGCAAAUUGCAGUUAUCUGCAUGGCAGCCCACAAUCAGCAGUAAUGCCAGGAACAUGUGAAAUCCCAAGUACAUGCAUUACUUAAGAGGCCCAUUAAACACAAUUCUCAUUCUUGGUUUCACAGGUUAGUGAGUAGCUGCUGUGCCCAAGUGCUAUUUCAUGGCCAGAUAACACCGAGGGAGAAGCAGAAGUUCCUCCUGUGAUGGGUGACCUGGGAUAACUGGGAGGAUGUUUAAACCUUUGAAACACAAAAAUUCUAAAGAAAGAUUUAGGAUCUGAACAGAGCUAAAAUAUUUAGGCUUUCAGUGAAAAGCAGUAUUAAAAUUUACCAAGUACUCUUAUGGCAGGUCUGUCAGAUGAGUGGGCAACAAGAAUAUUUCUAAUCUUCCAGAUGCAGUUCUGUAGUGCUUUGCUGCUUGAGCUUCUGUACUUACUGCUGGUGCAACAUAUUCCUCUUCAAAAUACACCUCUUGGAUAGAGAUUACCAGUGCCCCAACUACUGAGUGCUUUGUGUCCCCAAACAUCCCAGCUCCUUUCAACAAGGCAAAUCUGUCCCUGCCUGCCUGCUUUAUCAAUGAAGACUACUGUACUUGUGACAUUUAAUAUACAUCAAAUUGAUGCAGAAGAGACACCAAACCUCACAUUUUGUUGCUCCAAGGGAGAAAAAAAAAAAAAAAAAAAAAAGAUGUCAUCUUCAGAACUUUGAUUUUAGAGGUCAAACGCUGAUGUCUUAAAGACUACAUUUCACAGCCAAAAAAAAAAAAAAAAAAGUAAAUGAAUUGGAUCUUUCCCUCUUUCAGGUGUCUAGGUGCCCAUGUUAUCUCUCUGCAUCCACAGGCACAUUCCUCACUCCAUCCUUUUGCCAGCUCUACAGUUUUGGGGCAAACAAAGCAACUCAUGUGAGAGUCUCAUUCAAAAAGCAAGGAACUGAAAAAUAGAAGGGAAUUUCUGUCUUUCUGUACAGAAAUGAUUGCUAUCCCCAAGCACACCUGAAUAUCUCCCAUUUGCAUUUGUGCCACUAUGAUGGCAGCACAGAUCAAGUCUCAAGCUGACGGUGGGUGCUGCACCAGAAGUUCUUUGUUGCAAGGUGACCGGUGCAGUCCUGUGGCCUUGUGGUGAUAGUGACCAAUGCUACAAGUGCCUUGGGGAACCAGUCACAGAAGUUGCCCCAUGGUCACCAGCACCACAGUGCUCAGCUCCAAAUUACACGACUUGUUUUGACAAGACAACAGAAGUGGAAGAACCAGCCCUUAAGGCACAGGAGUGGUGCUAAACUGGGAAGCAUCCCAACGUGGUGUGUUAUGGUGGGGUGUAUUUCAGAUCUCAUGGUGAGACAUAAAUCUGUGUGAAGUGUUGUGCAGAUGCAAGGACAUGUUCCCCGUAUGACCCAGAGCUGAUCAGAGAAGCAGAGUCCCACAGAAGUCAUCAUUACCCUCACAGAUCGCAGACCGUAAUUACUCCCUACGCACAGGUUAAUG